AAACUGACCAAUCAGGACACAUGUAUUAGUCAAUUAUAUGUGAGACCCGCCUCCUCAUCCAACCUAUAACAGAGCUGCAGCUGAGGCCGGUUUCCUCUUUAACCUCCAGGACAAAACUGCAAGGACGACUCAGACAGGUGCCGGUUUACAGUUUGCUGUUUCUCCAAGCAACCAGAAGCGAUCUGAUCCAUCUGUAGAGGGGAAGUGCGGUGCUGAAUAAAACACAGAGAAGCAGAAGAGGCUCUUCCAGCUGAUGUCCACGCUCCAUUUGGCUGCUGGAGAGGCCGCCACUCGUGGAAUAGAUGUGGGAGAGUGGAGCUGUUGGUUUGUAGCCUGCCUCUGCCAUUAAAAGCUGCCAGAUUAACGCACUGCUACACAGCUGCAUGGACGCCUCCUGCUGGGCUGCACCAAGUCACAGUCCAUAUGGCCUCCUGCAUCUUCUCCCUCUUCUGCUUUAUUCUUUACCUACCUGCCAGUAUUUCUGCUGCUUUCUAUUUAGCCUUCCAAAGUUCUGAGCAGCUGCAGCAAAAAGGCCUCCUUAGCCAUUCACACGCUGACGUACUGCAGAUUAAAUUGGAUUCUGUGAAUUUAUUAUGGUGAUUACUGAACACAGAGGGUCCCAGAAUUUAAUUCCCCAUUGCGUUGUGCAGCGGUUAAAUGGGUUCCCAUUUGGACAAUGUGGAUGGUGGUGCUGUGGGGAAAAUGAGGGGCUGGACAUUUGCACCUGGAGUUCUUGUGUGACGGUAUUAAACGUUUCAUUUAGGUCCAACUUCAACACAUGCAUCUCCAGUCAGAGCAGCUCUCCAUCCUUCUCUCUCCUCAGAGUCCAUUGCUUUCAUUACAGACGCUGUGCGUGGAUAUCAGCGAGCAGAGUGCUGAGAGCAAAGGUAGACGAGGCCAUUCAGGGAUGGUGAUGUGCGGUGAAUACUUAUCCAAUCAUCCUGCCUCCUGGAUCUGAAAACAGGCAGAGUGCUGAGCUGCUUUCAGUGUUCCCCUCCCUUCUAAAAGGAAGAAACAGCACAAAAGCUCUGGCUCUUUUUUCCUAAUAGACCCUGAUAGAGAUGAAAACAAACAGACAGAGAGGCUCAAACAGAGCUGAAGAAUGAGUCGAUAUGUGGCUGAUCCAGUGAGCAGAAUGCCUGAGUCUCAUCAUUUCAGUGAUCAUGUGUUGUUAGGAUGUUUGCCACCAGGAGGACAUAUUAUUCACAUGCUUUAGCAUGUCCUUUAACCCUCGUCUCGUCCUGCAGGUCAAAUUGUUUUAAAGUUUGAAAAUGCGGAAAGAAAAAAUAUAUUUUCACAGUGAAACUUCUGAUGUCCACAUUUUCAAAAUUUUUGGGAGAUCUUUGAACAUUUUUUGGUGAAAAAAAAUGUUUCUUAAGAACAUUCACACAUAAAAAAAAAAUCAACCAAAAUCCAGUGAAAUUCGCUGGAUUUUGUUUAAUUUUUAUGUAAAUGUUCUUAAAGAAAAUAUUAGAAGUUUUACUGAUAUAUAUGGAGUCACUUUAGAUAUUUUUAGGAUUUUUUGGAAGAUUUUUACUCAUUUUUUGAAAAUAUUUACAAGAAUUUUCCUGCCAAAUUUGGGGAAUUUUUUUUUUAAGUUUUAAGGGAAGCUUUGAAGGAAUUAUUGGAAUUUUCUUCCUAAAGGUUUUGCAAAUUUUCAGAAAUUUGGGGAAUUUUUUUGCAGAAUUUUUGGAUUUUUUUCAGACAAAAAAAACUAUACUUUUCAGUGCCUGUAAAUGAGGACAGCAGGAGGGUUAAUCCACAUCUGCACAGCAUAAGUACACUGGUCUUCUUUAGAUUUAAGAUAAAUUAAAUGUAUGAAAAUCUGCCCUGACAAGAGCAACCAGUAAUGGACGGAGGAGGGUUUUAAUUCAAGGCGACAGUCAGAAGAACAUGGCCUUGGGGCAGACAUUGUUUUGCUGCUUUUAUGCCCAGGAUGAAAGUCAGCAAAGAGCUAAAAAGCAGCAGUUUUAAUCCUUAUAAAGACAAAAAGCUGCAUUUAAGCCAAGGUCCCACAAGUCCAAGCUUCAUAAAUAUGUAUUUUUAACCAUGACCAAGACCAAUUAGAUGAGCUGGAAGUCUCAUUUCUGCUGACGUCCAGCAGAAUUAAAAAAAAAAAUAAAUCUCUGCUUAUUCCAUUAAUGCUGGAGUGGACUUAGAGGUAUGACGUCAGUUUUCAACAGACUUCCAACAUGAGACGGUAGCCUAAAAUUACUUUAUGGGCUUUUAGUUUCCCUGCAGUGAACGCUUUAACGCUGCACUGUAAGAUUUUUGUUGUUUUGAUGGUAAAAUUCCAGCGGCUGUGGCCAUCAGAAUGCUACUGUAAAAUUACGCUAAAACAUUUUCCAUAUUUACGGUAAAGAAAUGUGUUGAUAUUGUUGAUUUUAGGGUUAAAAAAUGUGCUUGAUUCCAUAUUUUAUUGUAAAAAAAAAAAAGUUUUCACCUUUAGAAAUCUGAAAAUUUACAUCUAAAUACAAUAUAAAUGAAGUUUGUGUAACUUAUUACAAAUAUUACAGCAUUUUUACAUCAUCAGCACAACGGUUAGUGUAUUUAACAUUUAAUAAGUGGAUUUUUUUAAGCAAAAAUUGCAAUUAAAGCUGUCAUAAAUAUUAAGUCAUAUGUCCAUUAUUAAAACUAACGUACAUCAAUUUGACCUGUAUCAAACUGUAUUUUUUUACAUGUAAUAAAUGCAGAAAGUGCCAUGUUGCAGUUAUAAAUAUCGCAGCUUGUUUCCAGUGCAACAAUAUGUACAUUUAACUGGGAAAAACUGAAUUCUUCUUGAGAAUUAAAUGCAAAAAUGACUGUAUUGUUCUACAUAUUACGGCAUUUUUCCAUUAAAAACUGUGCAGGAGUGGGGAAAUAUAUUUUUUCAAGAGAAAGAAAAUCUAAAAAGCACACUUUUCUUCUGACUAUUUAUGGUGAUUCAGUGUUUUAUAAACUGCAUCAAACUGUUUUAGAGUUUACAGAUUUUUACUGUCAUGGUUUGACAGUUUUUCACUGUAAAAUUAUGAACAUUUUUUACAGCGUGAGGAAGAUACUAAAACAGCAUAGUAAAAUUUAUCAUGCUGCAGCUUUGGUUCCAUUUUCAUGUGGUUUAGUUUGUUCUCAGAGUUGGUUUCAGCUGAAACAUGGAGCCGUAGUUUCAUACAAUAGACGGAAUCUGUCAGAUCAUAUCAGAUAUUUUACAUUAGAUCAGUGAACUAACGCUAAA